GACGAACGCUGGCGGCGUGCCUAAUACAUGCAAGUCGAACGAACCGCGACUAGGUGCUUGCACUUGGUCAAGGUGAGUGGCGAACGGGUGAGUAACACGUGGGUAACCUACCUCAUAGUGGGGGAUAACAGUCGGAAACGACUGCUAAUACCGCAUAGGACAUAGGAUCACAUGAUUCUGUGAGGAAAGGUGGCGCAAGCUAUCGCUAAGAGAUGGACCCGCGGUGCAUUAGCUAGUUGGUAGGGUAAAGGCCUACCAAGGCGAUGAUGCAUAGCCGACCUGAGAGGGUGAUCGGCCACAUUGGGACUGAGACACGGCCCCAACUCCUACGGGAGGCAGCAGUAGGGAAUCUUCCGCAAUGGACGCAAGUCUGACGGAGCAACGCCGCGUGAGUGAAGAAGGUCUUCGGAUCGUAAAGCUCUGUUGUUAGAGAAGAACAGCGCAUAGAGUAACUGUUAUGCGUGUGACGGUAUCUAACCAGAAAGCCACGGCUAACUACGUG
rnacentral:rRNA from 1 species